rnacentral:tRNA from 1 species
GCGCCCGUAGUUCAACGGAUAGAACAAUAGCCUUCUAAGCUAUUCGGUGUGGGUUCGAUUCCCGCCGGGCGCGCCA